GAAAUUCUGCACCAACAUAUAAUAUUCUUAUAUUAAUAAAAAUAUAUAAAAAAAUUGAAUCAUAUAUAUAAUAUUCAAAUAUUAAUAAAAUAAAGGUGUCCAAUCUCAACUAAAUUUAUAAGUAUCAUCAUAAAAAACAAACAAAUACUUAUAAUUAACGAAAAGAAAAAAAACUAACAGUCUAAAGUCAUUGAGAGCCAUCUUCGGGCUAAAAGCUGAUUUGAUCGAGGUAUGGAUCUGCCAUCCGAACUUAAGUCGAUGGCCAAAGUUAAGAUCGACUCUAGAAGUUAUGUAUUGAGG
rnacentral:lncRNA from 1 species